rnacentral:rRNA from 1 species
UGAGGAAUAUUGGGCAAUGCCCGCAAGGGUGACCCAGCAACGCCGCGUGGAGGAUGAAUGUCGUAAGAUUGUAAACUCCAGUUAGAGGGGAAGAAUAGUACCGGUUGGACCGGUAUAUGACUGUACCCUCAGAGAAAGCCCCGGCUAACUACGUGCCAGCAGCCGCGGUAAUACGUAGGGGGCAAGCGUUGUCCGGAUUUACUGGGUGUAAAGGGCGCGCAGGCGGGAUAAAAAGUCAGUGGUGAAAUCCUACAGCUUAACUGUAGAACUGCCUUUGAUACUUUUAUUCUUGAGUUCGGGAGAGAGAGACGGAAUUCCAGGUGUAGUGGUGAAAUACGUAGAUAUCUGGAAGAACACCAGUUGCGAAGGCGGUCUCUUGGUCCGACACUGACGCUGAGGCGCGAAAGCGUGGGGAGCAAACA